rnacentral:rRNA from 1 species
UACAGAGGGGGCAAGCGUUGUUCGGAAUUACUGGGCGUAAAGGGCUCGUAGGCGGCCUGUUAAGUCGAACGUGAAAUCCCCGGGCUCAACCCGGGAACUGCGUCCGAUACUGGCAGGCUUGAAUCCGGGAGAGGGAUGCGGAAUUCCAGGUGUAGCGGUGAAAUGCGUAGAUAUCUGGAGGAACACCGGUGGCGAAGGCGGCAUCCUGGACCGGCAUUGACGCUGAGGCGCGAAAGCCAGGGGAGCAAACAGG